GAUCAUUACGAAAUUCUCGGGGGGCGCGACCUGUCGCGGCCUGCGCCCCCGCUGGAAGCGCCGGAAGGCGUCUGACAGCGCAACCCUUUGUGAAAUUCCCCCGUUGCUUCGGCAGCCCCUCCCAGGAGCGGUAAGCCUGCCGGUGGCAUUGUGGAAACUCAUCCUGAAAACCUGCACCUCAGUCUGAACAGCGCAGUCGAAUGACUAUAAAACUUUCAACAACGGAUCUCUUGGUUCCCGCAUCGAUGAAGAACGCAGCGAAACGCGAUAGUUAAUGUGAAUUGCAGAAUCCAGUGAAUCAUCGAGUCUUUGAACGCACAUUGCGCCUCCUGGAAUUCCGGGAGGCACGUCCGUUUGAGCGUCAGCUUAAUCUCUCCGGGCGGCGGUUUUUCGCGCCGCCGCCUGGGCCUUUGGCGUGGGGAGGCAACCGCGGUGCUUCGGCACCCGCGGGUUUCCCCCGCUUAAACGCGGAGAAAGCUAGCCGGCGACGCCCCAGCUGCAACGACUUGUAGAAUUUCUAGCGUCGUAAUGCCCCCCUGGAGCUCCCGGCCUCUAAACAGAGGGACCCGAGGUCCCCAGAUGUUUGACCUCAAAUCGGACGAGGAUACCCGCUGAACUUAAGCAUAUCAAUAAGC
rnacentral:rRNA from 1 species